rnacentral:lncRNA from 1 species
UUUUUUUUUUUUAGGAUAUUGUGGACUUUUGGUAAAAAGCUUUUAUUGUUUGUUUUGCUUUGCUGCUAUAUGGGGCACUCAUGCUACUGUGCUGUUUUGUUUAAUUUUCUGCUAUCUCUUCUGCUUGGCAAAGAGUGUCUGAAAGACUCUUAAUUAGUCUCCCUGCUUCUAACCCUGGCCCCUAUAGCAGUCUAUUUUUAAAACUGUAGUCAGAAGUAAUUCUUGUAAAAUAUAAUUCAAAUUACUCCUAUGUUCAGAAGCCUCCGGUGACUUCUCAUCUCACUCUGCGAGUUAAAGCAAAAAGCUUCAAGACCCUGCAGGAUCUGAUUUCCUCACGUCCUAAAAGACAUCUAUGUCCAUAUUCCUCUCACUUCAGCCACACCUGCCUCUUCUCUGUUCAAAGCCAGGUCCACUUCCUGCUCGGAAUCUUUAAAUGUGCUCUACCUUCCAGGAUAUUUCUUCUGGUCCUUAUGCAGCUCAAAGUUUUCCUCCUUCUAGUUAUUUUAGCAGAGAGGACUUCCUAAUCACUCUCUUUCAAAUGAUACCAUCCUCUUAGGUCCCAAACCCUCCCCAGUUUUUGUUUUUUUUUUUUUCCUCCUUUUCCUCAAUCCCUCUUGAGGUAUGUGGAUAUGUUAAGUAAAUAUGUAUGUAUGGUGUGUGUAUAUAAUAUUUACCUUUUUAUUUGGCUUAUUUCUCUCUCACUCAUUAGAACAUAGGUUUCAUAAGUUUGGGAAUUUGUGUGUGCAUGUUUUUCCACUGCUGUAUCCACAGUAUAUAUUAUAGGGCAUUGCCAAGAGGAACUUCUUAUUAAUAUCUGUUUUGUUGGAUUAGAAAUGAUAUAAUAUUUCUGAGUCUCCAUAUCUCCUCUUUCCGUAUCACCUCGAAGGAAGGCUUUGGGAUCCUCAAAAUAAGCCUUUUUUUUUUUUCCCCCCUCAUAAUAUGGAACUGGCUAGAGUUAAUUCCUAAACAUCAGAUGAUUUCUUUCUGCAAUGAAAGAGCAGCCUUUUCCCUUUGAAGAGAACCCAACAAUUCUAAUUAUCAUAAUUAAUUCUGUAUGUAUGGAUAGGUAACCAGAUAACCAUAGUAACCCUCAGACUUGCUCCACAGAACUGGAAAAUCAGGACUUCUUUCUUGGUAAAGAUUUAAGGAAGCAUCUAUUGCCCUGUUGCAGACACACCCACUUUUUCUAGAAGAGUCUGAAUUAGAAUCUGGAACACCAGUUUCCCAGGGCAAUGUUCUUUUCAAAAUAUGCAGCUUAAUGAUCCCGGGAAACUAACCCUAAAGAAAAAAACAUGACUAACAAAUAAUCAUGACAAGAGCUGGGAAUGAAAGGAUUACUGGCAGGAAAGAUUGCAAAAUAGAGAGCCUAACAGCAAGAUUUAUAAUCUUUUCUCUUAUCAUUACACCUACAGUUCUAAAACUUAAUCUUACUGAUCUCACUAUAGUUAUUCCUAUUUCUGACCAUAUCUGGUUUCCAUUUCCUGACUGGGAAGGGAAGAGUGAAUCAUUUCCAUUGUAACAGGAUGAGACCAAGGUGGCCGGGUUGUGGUCCACAGAACACGAAACAUUGAUGAGUGGUUUUUUUUAAGGUGAUGUGUUCCUUGUUCUCUAUGAGGAUACAGGAGCCACGCUUCAUAAUGGAUGAGCUCUUUAGAAAUUUUCCAUCAUAUCCACUAAGCCCUUCAACAUAAACUGUGUCUUCUAAGGAGGAAAUUCUGUGUCAAUAGGAUAAAAAACUGUGAUGGAGGAGCUUCUGUUGUGGCGCAGUGGAGACGAAUCCGACUAGCAACCAUGGGGUUGUGGAUUCGAUCCCUGGCCUUGAUCAGUGAGUUAAGGAUCUGGUGUUGCCGAGAGCUGUGGUGUGGGUCGAAGACGUGGCUCAGAUCCUGCGUGGCUGUGGCUGUGGCGUAGGCCGGGAGCUGUAGUUCCGAUUCAGCUCCUAUCCUGGGAACCUCCAUAUGCCUCAGGUGCAGCCUUAAAAAGCCAAAAAAAAAAAAAAAAAAAAAAAAAAAAAA